rfam:Salmo salar isolate Sally breed double haploid chromosome ssa13, whole genome shotgun sequence.
UGCACGUGUGACUGUGAGUUGCUUUGGAUAAAAGCGUCUGCUAAAUGGUAAAUA